rnacentral:other from 2 species
AGUUCACUGCGGCGUUGGUGACUGCCAAUAAUGUUUUAUGAUCUUGCUUUUCAAUAAGGGAAUCUAAUUACGUCUGGCAGCAGUAGACCGGGCUUGUACCCGGAAACUUUAAGUCUGACGAUCGACUCCCACCUGGUUUCGCACCAGGUCAAAAACUGAGGUAAAACGGCGUUGCGGUGAACUU